rnacentral:rRNA from 1 species
GGUUGAUCCUGCCAGUAGUCAUAUGCUUGUCUCAAAGAUUAAGCCAUGCAUGUCUAAGUAUAAACAACUUUAUACUGUGAAACUGCGAAUGGCUCAUUAAAUCAGUUAUAGUUUAUUUGAUAGUACCUUACUACUUGGAUAACCGUAGUAAUUCUAGAGCUAAUACAUGCGCAAAGACCCGACUUCUUGGAAGGGUUGCAUUUAUUAGAUACAAAACCAAUGGCCAGCAAUGGUCUCACUUGGUGAUUCAUAAUAACUUUUGCGGAUCGCAUGGCUUUACGCUGGCGACGAA